rnacentral:rRNA from 1 species
AUUGAACGCUGGCGGCAGGCUUAACACAUGCAAGUCGAACGAGUGGCGGACGGGUGAGUAAUGCUUGGGAAUCUGCCUUAUGGAGGGGGUUACCUACGGGAAACUGUAGCAAAUACCGCUUACCAUAGGAGGGGCCCAAGUGGGAUUAGGUAGUUGGGGGGGUAAAGGCUCACAAAGCCGACGAUCCCUAGCUGGUCUGAGAGGAUGACCAGCCACACUGGGACUGAGACACGGCCCAGACUCCUACGGGAGGCAGCAGUGGGGAAUAUUGCGCAAUGGGGGCAACCUGACGCAGCCAUGCCGCGUGAAUGAAGAAGGCCUUCGGGUUGUAAAGUUCUUUCGGUAGCGAGGCGUUAACUACAGAAGAAGCACCGGCUAACUCCGUGCCAGCCGCCGCGGUAAUAC